rnacentral:lncRNA from 1 species
ACGCAACUUGGGGCCACCUGGCCUAGUGACUGCUGCUACGCGUCCUGGCCGAGGGGUAGCGGGACCGCAGGCGGCUGGAGUGGGGAAGGGUGACCGCCGCCGUCGUUUCUUCUCCGUGGGUGGCUACAGAGUGCCCUCAAGUAACCCGGAGGUUGAGGGCCCCCCAGUGCGCGGCUGCCGGGGGUCAGGACGCGGGACUCCCCUCUACCGCCAUGGUCUGGCAGUGUGGGGGAGCGCUCAGGGACAGAGAUGCGGCUGCAGAUGUGUGCUUUCUCCUUGCUCCCGACUGCUGACUUCAUUAUUCAAAUACGCAGCCGAAACCAUGGAUCUUGCAGCAAAUAUGCACUGGAAUUAGGAGUCUCACCCUUUGCUGGCCUCUGCAGCUACAGAGAUGAUUGGUCACAUUCUCAUGGGUGAAGAAAUGGACAAGCUGAUUCUAAAAUUCAUUUGGAACUGCAAGGGACCAGAAGAACCAAAGCAAUCUUCAACAAGAACAAUGUUAGAAGAUUCACUUCUCCAUUUCAAAACUUACUACAAAACUAUAGUAAUCGGCGGGGUGCAGUGGCUCAUGCCUGUAAUUCCAGCACUUUGGGAGGCCGAGGCAGGCAGAUCACUUGAGGUCAGAAGUUUGAGACCAGCCUGGCCAACAUGGUGAAACCCCGUCUCAACUAAAAAUACAAAACUUAGCUGGGUUUGGUGGCAAGUGCCUAUAAUCCCAGCUACUCAGGAGGCUGAGGCAAGAGGAUUGCUUGAGCCUGGGAGGUGGAUGUUGCAGUGGGCUGAGAUCGUGCCACUGCACUCCAGUUUGCCUGGGUGACCAAGUGAGACUCUGUCUCAAAAACAAACAAACAAACAAAAAAACAACAACAAAAAGUAUGUGUAUAUAUAUAUGAGAGAGAGAGAGUAAUCAUUACUGUGUGAUAUUGGCAUGAGUAUAGAUACAGAAUAGAAUUGAAAGUCCAGAAAUAAAUCUAUACAUUUAUGUUAAUGUCAAUUGAUAUUGAAUGUUUGCCAAAAACAUUCAAUGGAGAAAGAAUAGCCUUUUCAACAUAUGGUGCUGGGUCAACCAGAUAUUCACAUACUAAAGAAUAAACUUGGAACUCUAUCUUAGGGCUAAUAUGAAAAUGAACUGAAAGUCAACUAAAUAACCUAAAUGUAAGAGCCAAAUCUAUAAAACUCUUAGAAGAAAACAGGUAAAAAUCUGCAUGAUCUUAGAUUAGGCAAUAUUUAGAUUUGGCACUAAAAACAUAAGCAACCAAAGAAAAAAAUAGAUAAAUUAGACCUCCUCAAAAUUAAAAAUAUGCAUCAAAGGACACUACCAGUAAAGUAAAAAGACAACUCAUUGAAUGGGUAAAAAUAUUUGCAAAUUACCUAUGUCAUAAGUAUUGAGUAUAGAGAAUAUUUAUGAGCUCUUAUAACUAAGCAGAAAAAGAUAACUCAAUUUGAAAAUGGGCAAAGGAUUUGAAUAGACAGUUUUCUGAAGAAGAUAUGCAACUGGCCAAUAAGCACAUGGAAAGGUACUCAAUACUAUUGGUCAUCAGGGAAAUACAAAUUCAAGCCACAAUGAGGUACCACUUCCCAUCCACUAGGAUGAGUACAAUAAUAAUUUUAAAAAAAUAAGUGAUGGUGAGAAUGUAGAAAAACGAACUUUCAUACAUUGCUGGUGAGAAUAUGAAGUGGUACAGCUACUGUGGAAAAGUUUAGCAGGAAUUCAGAACGUUAAAUAUAGAAGUACCUUAUGACGUAGCACUUCUGCUUGUAGGUACUCAAAGGAAAACAUAUGUCCUCACAAAAACUUGUACACAAAUGUUCAUAACAGGCUGGGUGCGGUGGCUCACGCCUGUAAUCCCAACACUGUGGGAGGCUGAAGCGGGUAGAUCAGUUGGGGACAGGAGUUCCAGACCAGCCUGAUCAACACGGUGAAAACCCGUCUCUACUAAAAAUACAAAAAAA